rnacentral:rRNA from 1 species
GAUGAACGCUGGCGGCGUGCCUAAUACAUGCAAGUAGAACGCUGAAGGAGGAGCUUGCUUCUCCGGAUGAGUUGCGAACGGGUGAGUAACGCGUAGGUAACCUGCCUGGUAGCGGGGGAUAACUAUUGGAAACGAUAGCUAAUACCGCAUAACAGUAGAUAUCGCAUGAUAUCUGCUUGAAAGGUGCAAUUGCAUCACUACCAGAUGGACCUGCGUUGUAUUAGCUAGUUGGUGAGGUAACGGCUCACCAAGGCGACGGUACAUAGCCGACCUGAGAGGGUGAUCGGCCACACUGGGACUGAGACACGGCCCAGACUCCUACGGGAGGCAGCAGUAGGGAAUCUUCGGCAAUGGACGGAAGUCUGACCGAGCAACGCCGCGUGAGUGAAGAAGGUUUUCGGAUCGUAAAGCUCUGUUGUAAGAGAAGAACGAGUGUGAGAGUGGAAAGUUCACACUGUGACGGUAUCUUACCAGAAAGGGACGGCUAACUACGUG